GCGAGAAGCAUCGGACCAUGAGCAUCUAUGGUAAGCAAGGUAAUCAAAGGCAAUUUUCCCUUCUCGAAACCCGUGACUCGUAGUCACGUGUCAGCACUACGCAACGCUCCCUUCAAUUCAUACCAAAGUAAAACGUGCCAAAUCCACCUUCACCAUCUGUAAAAAGUAAAAACCAACCGUCUCAAAGCCACCGUCGACAACCACCACUUCCGCCAUCAUCUCACCGUCCACAACCACCGCAUAACGCUGAUUUUCAAAAAUCAAUCAGAAAAUGUCCACUCUUUACACUCCUCUAAUUUUCACCAUAAAACCCCCCAAAACCACCAUUAAACCUCACACGUUUCUUCCUUCUUCAUUCUCAAACCCUAAGCUUCGAAAAUUUCCCAAUUUCUCGGUUCAAUCCUCCAAUGACCCGGAAAAAGCGACCGGUAUUGAACCGGACAAUGAUAAAUCCGACGAUAAAACGACCGGGUUCGUUGAUGAAUGGGGAGAGAAGUCGGAGCUGGAAUCCGAGCCGGUUACGAAGUUAACGGACUCGGACCCUCCGAAAUAUGAGGAUGAGUGGGGUAACAACGGCAGUCCAGCUGUAGAUGUGAGUGGUGGAGAAGACGAGAAGCUUCUAGAACUGAAAAGGUGCUUUGUGGAUACAGUUUAUGGGACAGAUUUCGGGUUUCGGGCUUCAUCGGAGGUUCGGGCUGAGGCUUUGGAGCUCGUUUCUCAGCUGGAGGCAGCAAAUCCUACUCCCGCACCAACUGAGUGUCCUGAGUUGCUUGAUGGGAAUUGGAUUUUAGUAGGGUCUAUCGGAAACAACCUCUCUACCCCGUGGGGUGGGUUUACAGCAUUUUCUGAGUUGUUACCUCUUCUUGCUGCGGGCAGCAUUCCUCUGGUGAAGGUAGAAAAGAUUAGCCAAGGCAUAGAUACAAGCAACUUUACUAUAGAGAACUCGACUACAUUAUCAAGCCCUGUAGCCACCUUGUCUUUUAGUGCAACUGCCACUUUUGAAGUUCGAAGCCCCUCUAGAAUACAGGUUGAAUUUAAGGAAGGGAAUUUUAAACCUCCAGAGAUAAAAUCAAACAUAGAGCUGCCAGAAAAUGUGGAUGUGUUUGGGCAAAAGAUAAGUCUCUCUCCAGUGCAGCAAUCUCUAAGUCCCCUGGAAAACGCUGUGGCAGGCAUAGCACGAACUAUUUCUGGUCAGCCUCCUCUCAAGAUCCAAAUUCCAGGUGAAAGGACAAAAUCUUGGCUUCUCACGACAUACCUUGAUAAGGAUCUGCGGAUAUCCAAAGGAGAUGGUGGGCUUUUUGUGCUUGUCAAGGAAGGGAGUUCUCUUCUAUAUUAGUAGAGGUACCCGUAAUCCUGUAUUGUGAUUUCCAGAGGUUUUACGAACUGCAGCUAUUACUUGCAGAUUGAAGGUGGCAAGGAAGAAUAUCCACAUGCAAUGCGGUUAGUGUUAUUCAAAUUCAUGUAGAAUUUGGAUUGGCCAGUUAAGAGAGCCUACAUUGCUCUUCUUUCUUUCGAUGUCACUGCAAAAUGGUAAUCCCACUUGUGUUAAAGGUAAAUAGGCUUUUGGCAGGAAACAUGUUUAGAAUGCUCGAAUACUACUGAAUAAAUGCAUUCAUCUCAGGAUGGAGCUGCUUCUAUGAAAUUACUUUAAACAGGUUAAGCCCGAAUUGCCAUCCUCUACUGUUAGAUAAUCUAAAGUUUGUUCUAGAAGUUACUCAGUAUUUUAAUCUUUUGGAGGUCAAUCACUUAUUUCAGUUCAAUACUUAUUUGAUUUGGACUUGAAGCUAAUUCUAAUUUGGCAGCAACUCAUACAUGAACC